UCCGGAGGGUGCAAUCGUUAUCCGGAAUUACUGGGUUUAAAGGGUGCGUAGGCGGCUUCAUAAGUCAGGGGUGAAAGCCCGCAGCUUAACUGCGGAACUGCCUUUGAUACUGUCGAGCUUGAAAGAGGUUGAGGUCAGCGGAACGUGACAUGUAGCGGUGAAAUGCAUAGAUAUGUCACAGAACACCGAUUGCGAAGGCAGCUGGCUGGACCUACUUUGACGCUGAGGCACGAAAGCGUGGGGAGCGAACAGG
rnacentral:rRNA from 1 species